UACAGAGGGUGCGAGCGUUGUCCGGAAUCACUGGGCGUAAAGGGCGCGUAGGCGGCCUGGUAAGCGUGCGGUGAAAGCCCGGGGCUCAACCCCGGGUCGGCCGUGCGAACUGCGAGGCUGGAGCACUGUAGAGGCAGGUGGAAUUCCGGGUGUAGCGGUGGAAUGCGUAGAGAUCCGGAAGAACACCGGUGGCGAAGGCGGCCUGCUGGGCAGUGGCUGACGCUGAUGCGCGAAAGCGUGGGGAGCGAUCCGG
rnacentral:rRNA from 1 species